UUUACCUGUGAAAUGAUGUCACAUCUUUUGAUUCACAAACACAAACAAAUAUUUUUAGGAGAUGUUCUGAUGGAGCUGAGAGUUUCCACGUUUCCCUCCGUGUGACCUGUGACCUGCACAUUUUUCUGGAUCCUCCUUCGUGCUCGUGCGGUUUGAACAGCUCUAGUUUCUUCUGUGUCCGUGUGAGAAACAAGUCAAAACUAAACUGACCUCAGAACCUUCACCCCACAGACGAAGCACCGCACUUUAAAAUGAAACAUACACAAGUCGACCGUCACAUUCUCCAGUCAGGUCCAGUCAGGUCAUCGCUCACAGACGGAGCAGCUCACGAGUCUGGUUCAGAAGCACAUUGUAGAGAUUGAAUAAACCCAAACCCAGAGCCCCACAACGUGACCAGUUUGUUUGGAUCAGAGUCGUGGGUUUGAUGUUUCACACGAGGAUCAGACUUUACACUCGAGUUCAGGCAAAUUCGAAACUCGUUAGUGUGAGUGUGUGUGUGUGUGCGUGGGUCAGUGUGUGCGUGGGUCAUUAGUGUGUGCGUGGGUCAUGUGAACAGUCGUGUUCUCCGACUAAAGAAGCACAAAUCCACACGACAAUUUAUCCUCCAGUCAAGAACACGAAUCAAGACCAGGACAAGACCAAGACCAGGACAAGACCGAAACCAGGACAAGACCGAGAUAAAACCAAGACCAGGACAAGACCGAGACAAAACCAAGACCAGGACAAGACCGAGACAAAACUGAGACCAGGACAAGACCGAGACAAGACCGAGACAAAACCAAGACCAGGACAAGACCGAGACCAGGACAAGACCGAGACAAAACCAAGACCAGGACAAGACCGAGACAAAACUGAGACCAGGACAAGACCGAGACAAAACCAAGACUAGGACAAGACCGAGAC